GACUUGAGACUACAAUCAACAAAAAAAUGAAGAGAUGGCAGUAAUCUUUGGGACCGGGGUAUGCAACAGCUAUGCAGUACUGCAGUGAUCAAGUAGCAUGAUGAACACUAUGAGUUACCAGAGGUUUAUGGAGUGUGAUCCGUUUCAGAUAUGGUCAAUUCCCCCGUGAUUUCACCUGUUCCUAAAGACUUCCCCUGGGAACAAAUCGUCCAGAACGCCAAGUUGUGUGCUGAAAUCACGUUGCAGACACUGUUGUCACAAAGAGAAUGAGGAAAGAACAAAGGACGUGGGAAAGGAGAAAACAGCGUAAUUCCAGCAACACAGUCAAACCAUUCAUGAAGGUCUAAAUGUUACCACAAGAAAACGAGUUUUCAGUGGCACUCUAUCUUUGCGAUGAAUGCCACCAAAAGAAAAUGUGCUUUAUUGGAACAACCUGGCUUACAAAGAAGAGUUGUUUUUGCACCUAGUUCUUUGGCGGCAUGCUUGCAUGGACUUACAGCUUAGACUUCAGAACUACACUGUAAAUGUAUAGUUCUUUUCUUGUGAAAUUUGACAUGACUUGAGAUGAUCCCUUCUCUUCUCCCCCACCCAAGCAAGCCAAAUGCUAAGCAAGAAUUAAAAAAAAAUUAACCUCUAACUGAAGUCC